AACGAACGCUAGCGGCGUGCUUUAGACAUGCAAGUCGAACGGUAAGGCCCCCUUCGGGGGGUACACGAGUGGCGCACGGGUGAGUAACGCGUGGGCAACCUACCCUCGGGUUUGGGACAACUCCGGGAAACUGGAGCUAAUACCAAAUAAGACACGGAGUCCUCGGGCUCUGUGGGAAAAGAUGGCCUCUUCUCGAAAGCUAUCGCCCGUCGAUGAGCCCGCGUGCCAUUAGCUUGUUGGUGGGGUAACGGCUCACCAAGGCGACGAUGGUUAGCUGGUCUGAGAGGAUGAUCAGCCACACUGGAACUGAGACACGGUCCAGACUCCUACGGGAGGCAGCAGUCGGGAAUCUUGGGCAAUGGGCGAAAGCCUGACCCAGCAACGCCGCGUGAGGGAUGAAGGCCCCCGGGUCGUAAACCUCUGUCGGGAGGGAAGAACAGGCUCUGGGCGAAUAGGCCAGGGUUUUGACGGUACCUCCAAAGGAAGCGCCGGCUAACUCCGUGCCAGCAGCCGCGGUAAUACGGAGGGCGCAAGCGUUGUUCGGAAUUAUUGGGCGUAAAGCGCGUGUAGGUGGCGAGGAAAGUUGGGUGUGAAAGCCCGGGGCCCAACCCCGGAACUGCACUCAAAACUUCCUCGCUAGAGUCCCGGAGAGGAAGGCGGAAUUCCCGGUGUAGAGGUGAAAUUCGUAGAUAUCGGGAGGAACACCAGUGGCGAAGGCGGCCUUCUGGACGGUGACUGACACUGAGACGCGAAAGCGUGGGGAGCAAACAGGAUUAGAUACCCUGGUAGUCCACGCCGUAAACGUUGUGUGCUAGGUGUCGCGGGUACUGACCCCUGCGGUGCCGUCGUUAACGCAUUUAGCACACCGCCUGGGGAGUACGGUCGCAAGGCUAAAACUCAAAGGAAUUGACGG
rnacentral:rRNA from 1 species